GACGAACGCUGGCGGCGCGCCUAACACAUGCAAGUCGAACGAGCGAGCGAGAGCUUUCUUUCUUGAGCGAGUGGCGAACGGGUGAGUAAUGCGUGGGGAACCUGCCUCAAAGAGGGGGACAACAGUAGGAAACGACUGCUAAUACCGCAUAAGUCCACGGUGCCGCAUGGCACAGAGGGAAAAGGAGCAAUCCGCUUUGAGAUGGCCUCGCGUCCGAUUAGCUAGUUGGUGAGGUAACGGCCCACCAAGGCGACGAACGGUGGCCGGGCUGAGGGGUUGAACGGCCACAAUGGGACUAAGGCACGGACCAGAAUCCUACGGGAGGGAGCAGUGGGGAAUAUUGCAGAAUGGAGGAAACCCUGGUGCAGCGACGCCGGGUGGAGGAAGAAGGUGUUCGGAUUGUAAAUUCCUGUUGUUGGGGGAGAUAGUGACGGUACCCAACAAGGAAGUGACGGCUAACUACGUG
rnacentral:rRNA from 1 species